rnacentral:lncRNA from 1 species
GAUCAUACUUUUUUUUAAAAAUAUCACAUUUACACCAAUAAUAUUUCACUACCCUUAAAGGAAGUUGUGGGGAAGAUGGACGAAAAGGAUAGGCGUUGCACAAGUGUGCCUAGGCAUCGCGGCUAGAGGCCGUCCAUCCGGUAGACUAAUGCUUAUGGAGCAUAUGUGAAAGGUUGGUGUCAGAGGCAAUAUGUAUGAGUUUUUUGGGAGUUGAUGUGCGAGGGAGCAUUGUGUGAAUUCUCUUCUAUGUGGAGAUGGUGCCACUGUUAUUCUUACAAUGAAAGGAAUGCAUGUUGAUGCGAAGCUCACUUCCCGCUAUGAUGGCAUAAUCGAAUUCAAAUGGGGGACAAUAUCACACAGCGAAAAUGCUUAUCUCCCAAUUCAAAAUGGCAAGGUCAUCAAAAGCUAGGCGCGUAGCCUAUUUUAUUAAAUAGUGCACUAUUGAUAUGAUCAAUAGUAGGUAUUUUCCUAACAUCCUCCUCAUAGUGUGCGAGUGUGCCAAUUGUUCGGCUGGCAACUAAGAAUGAGUGAAAGACAACCUUGAGGCGUGAAACAUUGGGAGCCAAAACUUGCGGUCCGUGAAGAGCGACUCAACCCUUUUUUUAACUUUGGCCUUGCUGUCUUAUUGGUUGUCUUUAUUUAAAUUUUGAAACGUUACUAUAAGUUUGAAAAACACAAGUGAGCUAACAACAACAACAAGAAGACAAAAAAAUAAAUUCUUGACAACGUUAAGGUUGCAACAUAUGUG